rnacentral:rRNA from 1 species
UGCAGUCGAGCGACAGAUAAGGAGCUUGCUCCUUUGACGUUAGCGGCGGACGGGUGAGUAACACGUGGGUAACCUACCUAUAAGACUGGAAUAACUCCGGGAAACCGGGGCUAAUGCCGGAUAACAUUUAGAACCGCAUGGUUCUAAAGUGAAAGAUGGUUUUGCUAUCACUUAUAGAUGGACCCGCGCCGUAUUAGCUAGUUGGUAAGGUAAUGGCUUACCAAGGCAACGAUACGUAGCCGACCUGAGAGGGUGAUCGGCCACACUGGAACUGAGACACGGUCCAGACUCCUACGGGAGGCAGCAGUAGGGAAUCUUCCGCAAUGGGCGAAAGCCUGACGGAGCAACGCCGCGUGAGUGAUGAAGGGUUUCGGCUCGUAAAACUCUGUUAUUAGGGAAGAACAAACGUGUAAGUAACUGUGCACGUCUUGACGGUACCUAAUCAGAAAGCCACGGCUAACUACGUGCCAGCAGCCGCGGUAAUACGUAGGUGGCAAGCGUUAUCCGGAAUUAUUGGGCGUAAAGCGCGCGUAGCGGUUUCUUAAGUCUGAUGUGAAAGCCCACGGCUCAACCCGUGGAGGGUCAUUGAAACUGGGAGACUUGA